rnacentral:lncRNA from 1 species
UUAGAUGUUACAUUCACUAACUUACCAGACAUGCAAAGAUAUAUAAGAUCCCCCACACAGGUUGAUCAACAUAUAUGUAAGUAAUUGGCAACAAAACACUGAAAUACAAGGGUUUGCAUUGGAUAAUCCACUACUAAUUGUAGAUGCUCAUCUAAAUGGAUAAUCCUCUAUUCUGGUAGAGGAAUGUGUGCCAAAUCCUCUCUGAAAGGUACAGGAAGUCCAUGCGUGUUGGUCGUGAGGUGAUCCCAUGUACCUGCUUUCACUUGGAUUUGGGAACCGCACCCAGAUCGUUCUUGUUGGCUAAAUGAAUGUUUCAACGAACACUAUCUUGUCUGACAGUUAAAUAUGAGUAUAUAUGUAUGAUUUCAUCAAUGAUUAUAUAUGAUCACAUUUGCAACAGUGAAAAAGUAGGACGUAUGUUAUUUAGUUAUGGUAUUCUCCAAUACCCAAAUACAUAUGAACAACCAUGCAUAAAGCUACAUUCGCUAUUUAAGAAAACAGAAGAGAGCUCUGCUACUUGUUUAAGAGCACAUUUUGAUGACUUUGCUUCUAACUGUCACAAUAUAACUGGCAACAAAACCCUGAUAUAUUAAGGGUUUACAUCUCAACUCUAAUUGAAGUUUCAGCAUUGCAGCUAAGCUGAUCGAUCUUGGAUAACCAACUAUUCUGGUAGAGGAAUGUCAGCCAAAUCCUCUCUGAAAGGUACAGGAGGUCCAUGCGUGUUGGUGAUCCCACUUUCCAUUUCGAUUUGA